GUCGUUUAUACUAUAGUUGGAGGACCGCCAACCCUCUCUUCUGACCGCAAUGACACUAGUUAGAUCAUUGGGAUCCUGUAGAACACCGAUUGACAGAACCGGAAGAUGUAGAUUGACAACCUCUUGACUUUUAUUCAUCAUCUAGUGUCUACCAAUUGCACCUACAACACUCCUUAGAAAACUUUCGAACUAAAAUCAUAAUCUAGGCU
rnacentral:lncRNA from 1 species